rnacentral:rRNA from 1 species
ACGGAAGGCAGCAGUGAGGAAUAUUGGUCAAUGGGCGAGAGCCUGAACCAGCCAUGUCGCGUGCAGGAAUACGGCCCUAUGGGUUUUAAACUGCUUUUGCCUGGGGAUAAAGUGGCGGACUUGUCCGUUAUUGCAGGUACCAGGCGAAUAAGGAUCGGCUAACUCCGUGCCAGCAGCCGCGGUAAUACGGAGGAUCCGAGCGUUAUCCGGAUUUAUUGGGUUUAAAGGGAGCGUAGGCCGUGCUUUAAGCGUGUUGUGAAAUGUAGGCGCCCAACGUCUGCACUGCAGCGCGAACUGGAGCACUUGAGUACGCAGGAAGUAGGCGGAAUUCGUCGUGUAGCGGUGAAAUGCUUAGAUAUGACGAAGAACUCCGAUUGGGAAGCCAGCUUACUGUAGCGCCACUGACGCUGAUGCUCGAAAGCGUGGGUAUCGAACAGGAUUAGAUACCCUGGUA